rnacentral:lncRNA from 1 species
UUCGAGUUCGUCCCGGGCGGCCGCGGGGCGCAGAACGCGGCGGAGGCGGCGCUCAGUCUAGCCCCACGGCUCGGCGGGCGGCCUGCGCUCGAGCUGCAUCCCUGGACGCGGAGGCACCUCCUGUGGUCGGGCUGGCGGGCGCGGCAGCAGGCCCCGGCCCGGUCCGAGAGGCGGGCACGCUUCUCACGGGUUGCGGGGCCCUUACUCCAUCACAGCGCCCGGCGCGGAGGCAGCGGCGACGGCAAGGACGGCAGCGCGGGCGUCGGCUUCCUGGAUCUAGUGCACCGAGCCGCGGCGGCGGCGAACGCUGCUGCUGCGGCUGACGGAGACCGCCGCCGCUCUCUCCAUAUCGGACGCGGGGUCCGGACUGAGCCUGGCUCUCCGCCCCGGCGGUUAGAGCCCGGCUGUUCCCUGAGGUGGCGAAGCGGCUAGGGGAGGCCCCCGCCCGAGAGGGGAGGGCCGGGGAGGAAGUGCGCGGGCCGGCGGCGGCGGGAGGGGGCGGGGAGCAGGCCCGGCCGGGCCGCGGCGGCGCCCCUCGCUCCUCAGUCGCUCACUCCGAGGUCACCAGGCGCAAGCGCCGCCCCCUCACUGCCCGGCCAUCUUCUCCGCGCCACACACACGGACGCCUCCUCCGCCAAGCACCACGGCCGCCACCGCCCACGACGCCCGGCCGGCCGCGGCUGAGGCGAGCGCUCACACCGACAGGCCCCGCCGCCGCCCAGCGCACACGGCUUCCCGCACUACACAGCUUCCUCGGUGACCGCCAACGCGGAGCCCCGGCUGGGUCGCGCCAUGUGACGCUCCGCCCUGGCCCCACGCGGCCUCUCCUCGCCCGGGCUGACCGCGAGACCUCGCCUUCUGUAUGA